rnacentral:lncRNA from 1 species
GAACAAGAUGUCCUAUAAGCUGGAGAUUGAUUUGUACCCAUGACACUAAAGAUGCAUAAAGACAGUACACAUAUAUGCAUUUACAUGACUGAUGCAUCUGAUGAUCCAAAAUUCUUAUCAUCAUUGAGCCCAGUCAUUAUCAAUGAACCCAACUAAAUCCUAUUUCUUUGCAAGAACAACCACUGAAAAAAAUCUUAAAGGAUGCCACAUUUGCUUCAGUAUAGUUUAUCUGUGACUGUGCAUAGAGUCCUAUUUGUAAAUCUGCUACUCUUAGAAUAAAUAAUAGAAUCUACAAAUCUAGCCCUCUUAUUGGCAUAAGAGAUGUCAACAGAGAGCCCAAAGAAAGCUAAUUGGGAAAUGUGUCCCAGUUGCUGAAAGUUACUAGUUAAUAUUACUUUACUUUUUAGCCCUAAAAAAUGGAUCACUCAAAGUUACCACCCAGUGAUUUUAUUUUUAAGAACAAUACAGGUUUAAAAAAAUUGGAGGAAGAAAAAUGGCCAUCAACUUAUUAUCCUCCAAUAAGAUGGAAGAUUAAAUAUGACAAGGUUUUUGUCUGCUGCCUCAAAGAGAUUGUUCUUGAUACUGCAUCUUUUACUACUCCAGUAUCACUCAACCAUUAGCACAAUGUCUUGCUUUGUUGUUUGGGUAGAACCAGAAAGUCUUUAGCCAAGGGAAGAAGCUCAAAGAUGAACACCCUAUCACUGUUGCCCCUUCUAUGAUAAGGACAGGGAGUUGGAAUUAUAGAGGGAAAUAGCCUGAUGGUUAAAUUAUAAGGUUGGUUUAUAUCAAGCAGAAGUGCCACAAAAUUUUUUACAGCAUAGAAAUAUGCACUACAAAACAUGAUGUCAUCAAGCAUCAAAGGAAG